AUCCCAUCAGAACUCCGAAGUUAAGCGUGCUUGGGCGAGAGUAGUACUAGGAUGGGUGACCCCCUAGGAAGUCCUCGUGUUGCACCC
rnacentral:rRNA from 1 species